GGAAAUAGCCCAGUGGUAGAGCGCAUGCUUAGCACGCAUGAAAUCUUGGUUUCAAUCCCCUGUCCUUCCG
rnacentral:tRNA from 1 species